rnacentral:tRNA from 1 species
AAAUAUGAAGCAAUUGAUUGCAUUUAGUUUCGACCUAAAAAUAUGGCUACAAGCCCUUAUUUA